CAGAAGUUAAUGAUGCAAAAAGAAAGCCAAACCAGGAGGACUGAACCGUUGAAGAAUGUCUCUCUGGAUCUGAUUCUUGCCCCUAAACAUUGCCAAAACAUCCAUAGCUAAGAACAUCACCUGUGACUGUGCUUGGAAAGAACAUCACGGAGCUUCUCCAGGUGAGGUAGCCUGUUGAAGCACAGAGCAGAAAACAGAUGCAAUCGCUCACAUGAUUCAUGCAUGACAUUUACAGCAUCAGAACGCUUUUGGCUCCAACACUUGAGUCAUGUCCUCCCACACUCGCUCUUCAUCCUGGGUCAAGUUCCUGUCUUCUCGUGCGAUCCUCGCCAUGGAAACCAUGAACUCCAGGUCUAUAACGAGCCACAGUGCCAAUCAUCACUGUCUCAUCCUCUCACCCUCCUCGACACGGCUCUAUCUCACAUGACAGAUGAGCAGGACGGCCACUGCUGGGUGAAACCACUGGGCUUUUCCAUCAGUCUAGCGUCUUAUCAACACCCAGCGACAGCACGGCUGAAGCGAUUGCAUUUAUCCCAUUUAGAUAAGCCCAAGAUGCUGCCAUUCUCAGCGAGAGUGAAUUAGAGACGGCCUGCGCUAUCUCCAGUACCUGAUGU